AUCACUCAACCAAUUUAUAUUGGUCCAGGGCAAGGUACAGCGCUACCAAGGACAAUACAGAGGCAAGGUGGAGUCUGGGACGUUCUGCGCUGGCUUGUUCUUUUGAUCAUGGUUUUGUGUCUUCUUUUUUUCUGUUACAACGAAAGACUUUUAGCACUCUGUGGAACUAUGAUCUACCAAGCCAUGUGUUACCAAGUGCCAGAAGCAAGGGGGUAGAAGAAAAAAAGCGUGCAUCAGAUCCACUGUCAUUUUUAAUUAUGUUAAAAAAUGUUAAUUACCACUGACUAUUAAAAACAUAUGUAUAUCAUUAAAUC